rnacentral:lncRNA from 1 species
CAAUUAUUAACAGUGGGAGCUAAUUUCCUCACUAAUCAGGCUGAAGAUUCUUCACUUGCAGAAGCCAGUUUGCAGACAAACUGAUGCCACCCUAUGAUCACACCAUGCGCCUUCACUGCCCUCCACACGGGAGUCUUCCCAACAGCACCAACACUGAUGACAGGCAAAUGUCACAACCACACUGCAGUGGCAUGAGGAAGAACGUAGAACAAGGGUGGCCUCUGAACAUUACUCAGCUUGAUAGUUUACAGAGAAGCAUAAUUUCUACUUCAUCAUGAAACUUAUUGCUGAAGACACCCAAAGGUACAGCCCUAGUCCAGAGGCCCUUGCUGCAUGUCAGUGAAGACUCUCCCAC